rnacentral:rRNA from 1 species
UACGGGGGGGGCAAGCGUUGUUCGGAAUUACUGGGCGUAAAGGGCUCGUAGGUGGCCAACUAAGUCAGACGUGAAAUCCCUCGGCUUAACCGGGGAACUGCGUCUGAUACUGGAUGGCUUGAGUUUGGGAGAGGGAUGCGGAAUUCCAGGUGUAGCGGUGAAAUGCGUAGAUAUCGUAAGGAAGACCAGUGGCGAAGGCGGGUCUCUGGACAGUUCCUGACGCUGAGGCACGAAGGUCAGGGGAGCAAACGGG